GAUGAACGCUAGCAACAGGCUUAACACAUGCAAGUCGAGGGGCAGCACGGGAGUAGCAAUACAACUGGUGGCGACCGGCGCACGGGUGAGUAACGCGUAUGCAACCUACCUAUCAGAGGGGAAUAACCCGGCGAAAGUCGGACUAAUACCGCAUAAAACAGGGGCACCGCAUGGUGAUAUUUGUUAAAGAAAUUCGCUGAUAGAUGGGCAUGCGUUCCAUUAGGUAGUUGGUGAGGUAACGGCUCACCAAGCCGACGAUGGAUAGGGGAACUGAGAGGUUGGUCCCCCAAACUGGUACUGAGACACGGACCAGACUCCUACGGGAGGCAGCAGUGAGGAAUAUUGGUCAAUGGGCGGGAGCCUGAACCAGCCAAGUCGCGUGAAGGAAGAAGGAUCUAUGUUCGUAAACUUCUUUUGCAGGGGAAUAAAGUGCAGGACGUGUCCUGUUUUGUAUGUACCCUGAGAAUAAGGAUCGGCUAACUCCGUGCCAGCAGCCGCCGUAACAC
rnacentral:rRNA from 1 species